GUACAAUGCCGACGUCCCAGACGUGGUCUUACAUGUAAUCACAUACCGAUGCCACUGUCCCAGAUAGGGUCUUACACAAAAACACAAGUCGAUGCCGACGUCCCAGACGUGGUCUUACACAAAAACACAUAUCGGAGUCCUAUGUCAUGACAUAAGUAUCGUAUCUAUUCCUAGGGUUCGUACAGGGCUUUUAGGCGUUGAUUAUCGAUCGAAUCGAACUCGAAAGAAAAUUCCUAUCUUAAUAAUAAUUUUC
rnacentral:lncRNA from 1 species